CAUUCUGUUCCCCUUUAUAGUGUGUUAACCUGGACCCAUAGAGAGUCAUUCACAGGGUGAUUAAUAGGAGAAACACAAUGCUAGAUUAAGAUGUAUAUAGAUGAUUAGGUGUCUGGUCUAUUCAGGGCUCUGGUUAAAAGUAGUGCACUAUAUAGGGAAUAGGGCUGUAGUAUAAAGUAGUGCACUAUCUAGGGAAUAGGGCUCUGGUCUAAAGUAGUGCACUAUAUAGGGAAUAGGGCUCUGGUCUAAAGUAGUGCACUAUAUAUGGAAUAGGGCUCUGGUCUAAAGUAGUGCCCUAUAUAGGGAAUAGGGCUCUGGUCUAAAGUAGUGCACUACAUGGUGAAUAAGGGGCCAUAUUGGAUACAGCCUCUAUGUGAGUUUGGUUGGGCACAAGCCUGGGCCUGUGUGUGAAGUAGUGCACUAUAUAGUGAAUAAGGGGCCAUAUUGGACACAAGCCUGGGCCUGUGUGUAAAGUAGUGCACUAUAUAGUGAAUAAGGGGCCAUAUUGGACACAAGCCUGGCCCUGUGUGUAAAGUAG
ensembl:lncRNA